GAUGAAGAACGCAGCGAAUUGCGAUAUGUAAUGUGAAUUGCAGAAUUCAGUGAAUCAUCGAGUCUUUGAACGCACAUUGCGCCCCCUGGUAUUCCGGGGGGCAUGCCUGUCCGAGCGUCAUUGCUGCCCUCAAGCACGGCUUGUGUGUUGGGCCUCCGUCCUCCUCCCGGGGGACGGGCCCGAAAGGCAGCGGCGGCACCGCGUCCGGUCCUCGAGCGUAUGGGGCUUCGUCACCCGCUCUUGUAGGCCCGGCCGGCGCUUGCCGACACAUCAAUCUUUUUUCCAGGUUGACCUCGGAUCAGGUGGGGAUACCCGCUGAACUUAAGCAUAUCAAUAAGCGGAGGA
rnacentral:misc_RNA from 1 species